rnacentral:ncRNA from 1 species
UUUAUAGCAAUGCACUAAAAAGUAAGUCAAUGAGGAUUGUGCAGCGAGUGCGCGGUUGGUGAAAAGCGCAUCAAAAUUCUUGACUGAAGGUAGUUAGUGGGCCUUGCCGGUGAAAUUGUAGUAGUCGGUAACGUGAGAAACGCGUUAAGUUCUAACGAGAUAGCGGGAGAAGUCCCGUUAAAUCAGGUGGUACCGCGAUUAAGUCGCCCUGAUC